GUGGGUAUAGCUCAGUUGGUUAGAGUGCAAGAUUGUGGCUCUUGAGGUCGUGGGUUCGACUCCCACUAUCCACCCCA
rnacentral:tRNA from 1 species